CCAUGGACUGCAUUUCUCAUCCUCUCUUGCAGAUUUUGGAAUGUCAUCGUAAAAGCCCCAGGGCCAGGGAAGAGAAAAUGGAGAAAGAGAAAUAUCAAGUUAAGAAUUCACUGUUACAGAAAUGGCCCAGAGAGAGUAGCCAGAGUUCAAGAAGGGGCAGGGGAGUGCAGAGGGCAUUUCCACUCUCACACCUGAAAGGCCAUGUGAAAACACAAUGAGAAGGCAGCUGUCUACAAGCCAGGAAGAGACCUCUCUCCCCAAACUGAAUCGGCCAACACCUUCAUCUUGGACUUCUAGCCUCCAGAACUGUGAGGAAAAAAAGCUCUGUUGUUUAAGCUACCAGUCUAUGGUAUUUUGUUGUGACAGCCCUAGGAAAUGAAUACAGCCUCCCUCAAGAAGGGCAACCUGUCUCUCAAAUUCAUAGACCAGCAUUCCCAUACAUUAUUUCAUCCUUUAUUAUUUGGUCUUCAAUAAUAUGAGAUUGUUUCACAUGUCUUAAAGCCUUUAUAAAAAUGGUAUCAAACUGUAUGUAUUCUUCUGCAGCUUGUUUUCCUUUUAUUUAUUUUUUGUUUUGUUUUUUCCUUCAUCUUAUAUCUGUGAGAUUUAUUCAUGUGGAUAUUUUUCUCUAGUUCUAGAAUGAUGCACAAUACCUUCUAAAAUGCAAAUACAGUAUCACUUCCUGGAUUAAGAUGCUUCAGGUUUCUUACCUCAAAGAACAUCGAUAAAAAACACAGUUAUGUAUAAAAUAGAUAAUAAGGACCUACUGUGUAGCACAGGGAACUC